ensembl:lncRNA
AUGAAGCUUGGUUGUGAGUCUUUGGAGUCCCAGCACUGUGGGUAUUAUGGAACAGCAUCCCAUGGGAUUCAGAGGAGACCGCAGCCCAUGGCUUUGCUUCAGGUUCCUCUUCCUGAGCAUGAACUUGCUCUGGUAAACAAACCAUUGUGUUCCAGCAGUCCCAUCAGUGCACAACUGAGUUCAAAGGGGCUCCAUUGCUUGCACAAACUUUCAAGACCCGUUGGGUGGAAGCUGGUGCAGAGUGGCUUUGUUCUGUGUGCUGAGCACCAUGGGGAGAGCUGUACGGUGCUGCUGGCCCUGCAGGAAGGUUUCCUCUGUCUGCUGCUGCCUGUGCCUUUAGCCUCGUUCCCAAAGACAUCCAAAGGGAAGGCACAGCACGGCCAGACCCUGCUGGGCUUUUGCCUUUGGAAGCUGCUGAAGCCGCUCUGCAGCUGGGGAAGGGCAGCCUGGGAGCUGUGCUGAGAGUCAGCACCUCCCCAGAGCUCUGCAUUACAGUCCCACGUCUAUCCAUGGUGUGGAUGGGAGGUGGUCCUGUGAUGGUUGAGCCCUCAGCCCUGAGCUGCCACAGGGCUGUCCUUUGCUGCUUGCUUCAGGAGCGGCCGCAGCCUCACGCUGGCUCUGCCCGUAAGUGGGAAGUUUCUUCCCAGUUUACACAAUCCAAACUGGAACUGGCGACAGGGUGGGGGCCGCACACUGCUCAGGGUCUGCCGUAGCCCCUGGCAUGGCACAGCCCUCCCCCCAGCCGUGGUGGUUGGUGAUGUCCCUUGGGUUUGGUCAUCCCUAAGGAAUCGAUGUCCAGAGGAUUUUCUUUGUUUUGGGCUCCUUGCGUUAGAAGGGGCGAUGCUUCCCCAGCUGCUGAGCGUCAGCGAGAAAAGGAAAAAAAUAAAUAUUUUUUUAAAAUACUGAAUUAAUUCUGCAGUAGCCUAAAAGAGACUUUAUAUCUACGUCGUAACUAUUUCCAUUGGUGACACCCAUCUCAGUGCAGGCUUCUGGCUGCCACGUGGUCUCCUGCACAGGGAUGGCUUUCACAUCCCAAGAGAUGUCCCUAUUUGUUCAGGGACAGAGGGGCCCGUGUCCCCCCCAGAGCCCUGCAGAGAGGGAUUGUGGUGGGACGUGGACCCGGUGCUGACCCAUGGAACAAUGGUGAGAGUCACUGCUGGAGAAUGAGCUGACUUUUCCGAGCAACUUGUCUUCUGAAGUUCAUAUUUUUGUCCUUUAUUUUUAAGCAGGAAAGAAUUAUCUCGACCUCCAGAAAAUCUACACCGUGUUUUACCUUUUUGUUGCAUUUGGUUGCUUUGCAAAAGAAAAGAAAAAAAAAAUUACUAAUUUAAAUGUUGCUGUAGAUGACGUUCUAUUUAUUUUUAAGGGGUAAAUAUCUUUUAAGUCUUAAUACUUCUACAGUCGAUGCUAUUUACAGUGUCUGUGUCCCAUUGGCACAGCAGUUCAGUGGCUGGCCGAACUGCUCCGCCAAUGGGAACGCCAUCAAACUGCCUUGUAAAACAAAAUGUCUCCCACCAUGUAUUUUUUCUAGUAUUUCUUGAUUCUUUUAUGUCGGUGGUUAACAAACCUGUUCCGUGUUCGGGUUGUUUUCUGUUUUGGGUUGUCUGUUUUGUUUUUUUGUUGUUGUUGUUUUGUUUUGUCUUUGUUUUUUAACAAAGAAAGCUGAAUUACAACUCUCCCGUUGCUGGUCUUUGCCUCCAACUCUUUUCAUUUUGCAUAA